rnacentral:rRNA from 1 species
UGCCAGCCGCCGCGGUAAUACGUAGGUGGCGAGCGUUAUUCGGAAUCACUGGGCGUAAAGGGUCCGUAGGGGGUAAAGUCAGUCUGAUGUGAAAGCCGGGGGCUCAACCCCCGAAGUGCAUUGGAUACUGCUUUACUAGAGUGCGUGAGAGGUAAGCGGAAUUCGUGGUGUAGCGGUGGAAUGCGUAGAUAUCACGAGGAAGGCCGAAGGCGUAAGCAGCUUACUGGCACGCAACUGACCCUGAGGGACGAAAGCUAGGGGAGCGAAAAGGAUUAGAUA